rnacentral:rRNA from 1 species
UGCUAUACAUGCAGUCGAGCGCAGGAAGUUAUCUGAUCCUCUUUUAGAGGUGACGAUAAUGGAAUGAGCGGCGGACGGGUGAGUAACACGUAGGCAACCUGCCUGUAAGACUGGGAUAACUCGUGGAAACGCGAGCUAAUACCGGAUAACACUUUUCAUCUCCUGAUGAGAAGUUGAAAGGCGGCUUUUGCUGUCACUUACAGAUGGGCCUGCGGCGCAUUAGCUAGUUGGUAAGGUAAUGGCUUACCAAGGCGACGAUGCGUAGCCGACCUGAGAGGGUGAUCGGCCACACUGGGACUGAGACACGGCCCACACUCCUACGGGAGGCAGCAGU